UUCUGAAUGAUUUAAUUGAUCCCCCCAUCGUAGAGAUUUUAUUCUGGCGGUUAUUAUACAAUGUAUAAAAUUUUAAACUCCAGAGUGACACAUAAGCUUAUCACGUGACACUGGGCAGUCACAUGGUAUUUCACAGCUGACUCGUCUCACUUGGAGCUGGAAGACAGAGUGCAAGUCUUGUUUAGCUUUUUUUCUUCACUUUGAAACCUUCCGAAUUGGUUUAAAACGUGUCUAAACUAUGUUUUAACCAAUAGUUUAUAUUGACAUUUAUUUAUUUUAUUUUCUCGGGCUUUGAAAUUUGCUCCCACGUGCAACUUUUCUGCCAACACAUUACAGGAUUGCUAAUGUUCUCAGUAAUGUUUCAGUGUGUGGUACACAGUAGCAGUUCUAGCUCUUAUGGUGCCCUGGGCGAAACCCGCUACAACACGCCCCCAAAGUUGUUGACCGGGGGUGGUGGUGAUUGUAAAUGAGAAUGCCCCCGAAGUUGUUGUUGAUGCCCCCUCGUGCCUGGUGCCGCCCUGGGCAACUGCCCAUGUCAUCCAUGCUUAAAUCCGCCACUGGUGGUACUCCUCAAAACAUGGCCUAACAUGGGCUAACACAAAAGGGAGUGUUGCACAGCUCUCAUGUAUUUGGCCCCGCAUCAUUGCUGGGAGAAUGUGGGACUGGUAUACCAGUUUUCUUCCUCACAUAAGGCGGCGGUAAAAAGUGAUGAAAUGCCAGCCUACCCUUCCACUUCGUCAAUGAUUCAUCCAUGGAGAGGAACAAAAACACACUGAGUGUUAUUCACUUGUAAGUUGUAAAUGUCCUGAGUGUGCAUGAUGUGAAAUACUAUGUUACUUGGCUCUGCUUUAUCAAGAGGCAUAAUGUGUUAGGUUUAUGGACUAGUUUUGGCCACUAGAGGCCCUCAUUGUGUUUCAUUUCAGUUUCCCACCAUUGUAUCAUGUGUUAUUGUUCUCACCUGUGCCUCAUUUUCUGUGAGUGUAUUUAAGUUGCUCUGUUCAUCUGUUCUAUGCUCAGUGUUUGAUAUGUUGAGACUGACCUCUGCAGUCUUUUGGUAAAUCCCUCUUGUGAUUGUCUCUGGAUACUUUUGCUCUGUUUGAUUUUCUGACUUUUGCUUUUUGUUGUCCAAAUAUUUUGCCUUGAAGUUUUUUUUUUUUUUUUUUUUUUUUUGGAUUUUUUUAUUUACCUUUUUGGGAAAUACUCAUUUCCCCUUUUGAGGUUCUAAACCCUCUUUUGCUUUUUUGUAUUGUCUCCUUGGAACUAUUUGGAGUUUCUAUUUUGGAAUUACUUUCUGGACUAAUUAAGAAGACAUUCAGUGUAUUCCCUGACUGGGCUCUCAUUUCUGCAACUGGGUCCUCUGCCUUCUCCUACAUUCAGCAUUCACAGUCUAGUUCUAACCUUGGUCCUUACAUAAUGAAUGACAUAUUGAAUAAUUAUGAAAUGUUAACAGUUUUAUUACAGUUAUGGUUAAACAAAAAGCACAAAUUUCAUAGACCAUAAUAAUUUCAAAUAAUAACUAACAAAUUUCAUAGUGUGUGUGUGUGUGCAUAAUAUUUAUUAAGCAGUAUGAAAUGGCAUUAAAUAUUAACUAUAAAGAACAUUAAACUUUUAUAGGUUCAAUAAUGUUUGUGUGUGGUACACCUCAAAGCAUGGAGUAACACACAAGGUAAUGCUGCAUGGCACACAUGUAUUUUGUAAGGUGCCUCUCCUUUGUCUUCCGUGUGCUGGAGAGACAGACCUUGAAGUGCAGCCUGGACCGGUGGAGCGCCCUAUCAAUAGUAAGGGGCCAGUAAGGACAUGACGACGGACCCAGAGAUCCCAUGUCCUUUGUAGUGGUGGAUGUCAGAACCCACUUUGCCAGCUUUCCUCUCACUCCAGGUUGUGUGUUCUCCAAAUGUUCUGUGACGUAGCAGUUUGUUUCCUGAUCUCCGCAACAAGCUCCUCCAUUAUAAACAUUUUCAAACACUAGACCUCUGUGGGAGAUGCAGGUGGGGCCUGAAUUUGAGGGUUAAAAAAAAAAAAUUGUCUAGGAGGGGUAAAAUUGCUGGUACCCCUCCAGCAGGAAGAGCUUACCUCCUGCACCUUUGGUGUUGUGUGUGUGUGUGUGUGUUUGUGUGCAGGUGAUGAAGCAGUGGCUGAGAUAUCAUCAGAAUUAAAAAAUAUUUCUCUGAUCUCCUCAUCUGUUAAUUGUUUUCUUUUAAAAGCAGACAACUUUUUCUGUUGCAAUUAGCUAAAGAAUUUGCGUGUAAAAUCUGUGAGCGCCAAUGUGAGUCUGAGGUAAAAGUGUCAUGCUGUGACACUUGUCAUUGGGGGAAAGGGAAGACUACAAAGCAUUACAAAGAAAAAAAGAACUAUGAAGAAUUACUGAUGUCAGUCCUUUAUUUGAGAUUCUUAGUUUUUAUACAAAACAUCUUAUUUACUACAUUAAAAAUGUUAUUAGAUUCUAAAAUGUAUCAAACAUAUGUGUUUAUAUAACUUUUAUAAUGAUCAAUAUUAUCGAGAUAAAUGUAAUUAUUGAUUGCUGUGACCAUGGCCAUGUUUGUUUACAUUGCAAUGCAGACUUCAGAGUCCAGAGCCUGUCAACAUCACAUUUGUUUCAUGUGAAUAAAAUAUUAUGUUUGAAAGGUGAUUGUUUUUCUCAAUCAUUUUUGCUGCAGUCAUAUAUCAAUGUGUAGAUAUAAGCCGUAAACUUUUAUUCUAAUACCUCUGUGUUUACUUGAAUGCCCGUUACAUAUAUUUAUUUUAUCAUGUGUUUGAGCAGCUAUUUUAUACAUAAAUGACAAGCACUUAGUUUCACAGUUAGUUUUGCCAUGAGUACACACAGUGUGUGGAUAUGGACAGUAAACUUGUUUUCUUCUGUGUUUGUUUGAAUGCUCGUAAAAUAAAAUUAACAUUCUAUGGUUAAUAUUUAGAACAUAUUCUUUUAGACAUCUAAUGGGGCUUUUCCACUGCACGGUACAGCUCGACUCUUUUUUUAGUACCACUUCAGUCGAGGUUCCAAGCGUACCAAGCCGAUACUAAAUGUGACGUCAAAACCCUGCAGAUCACUGUCCUCCCCUUGCUAUAAGCUAGAUGGCAGUUUAGCUUACCCUUGUGCGUCAUCUUUGAGCUAACACAGUGAUGUCCUCAUCUGCUCUACAGGGUAUGAUUUCCCAAACUCUCCUGUUUUUUGUAUUUUGUCUUGCUGCCGUCAGCCUCUUUUGAAACAAAGUUUG